GGUUGCGAUCAUACCAGCACUAAUGCACCGGAUCCCAUCAGAACUCCGCAAUUAAGCGUGCUUGGGCGAGAGUAGUUCUAGGAUGGGUGACCCCCUGGGAAGUCCUCGUGUUGCAACCC
rnacentral:rRNA from 1 species